GACAGAGGGGGCAAGCGUUGCUCGGAAUUACUGGGCGUAAAGGGCGCGUAGGCGGGAUGGCAAGUCGGUCGUGAAAUCCUUCGGCUCAACCGAAGAACGUCGAUCGAUACUGCUGUUCUUGAGGGUUGCAGAGGAGACUGGAAUUCCCGGUGUAGCGGUGAAAUGUGUAGAGAUCGGGAGGAACACCGGUGGCGAAGGCGGGUCUCUGGGCAAUUCCUGACGCUGAGGCGCGAAAGCGUGGGGAGCAAACAGG
rnacentral:rRNA from 1 species